UUAAGUAUCGGAGGGGCGACGAGAACAUACCUCGUUAUCUUUGUUUCAGGUACCGGAAUACUACGAUCGUGCUCAAUCAAAACCAUCAAGCUCGAGAAAUCAACAGGUACGAUUUUUGGCAGCAUCACCAUCCUCCCCCGAUGAUGUGAGUAUUCACUACGGAUUUACCUUGUACACGAAGCAGCCUUCUACCUGAUUUCUAUAAUUCUCUUGCAUUAACACUGCAGUUUUUUAUUUUCAAAUACAAUCUCACCAAUCAAUAAUGGAUACGUUGACUCAAGUGGUCAAGUAAUUAAUCUCACCAAUCUCGACAAAAUUCAAAGCACGAUCAGUCAUUUCAAAAUUCACUUUAUGCGAAGUUCUUAAAAUGACAAUCAGUACAGAGUAAAGAGAAGAGGAAAAAAUAUGCGUGUGCGAGCAUCGUGCUUUAGGUGUUAAUAGAGGGGUAAAAAGAUUGUGAAGGCCUUUUAUUUUAGUUGUAGAUAGAGGGAAAACAGUGAAUGAAAGAUGAGAACGAAUGGUAAUUAUGAGUGGUGAUUAAAGGAUGAGCAAUUAAUGGAUGAUGAGGAUGGUCGAUAAUUGGAGAGCGAAUGGUCACUGAAGGAUUGUGCUUGAUGAUGUGGAUUAGCCAUUGUUGCGCGAUGAGCCCUCGUUUUUCCUAAGCCAAAUCGUUGUUGGGUAAUUGUCUUAACCUCUUGACGAAUUCAUUUCAUUGAAAUACCAAUUGGGUGAGGUUUCUAUGAUGUAUGGGUGGAGUUUGAAGGUUUUAGACAUGGAGGUGGUAAAAAGAGUGUGCGAUACAGCUGGGAGGCGAGAAUUCAGUUCACUGAAAUUAUUUCUAGGGCCAAACAGCGGGCGCCAAAUUAUAUAUGGUAGGUUCCUACAAUUGAGAACAGCGGAAUGAUAGACAGUGAAUAAUAAUAUCAAACUUCGAAAGAAACAACCAUUAAAGAUUCUCAGGAAGACACUGACAAAGUGCUGAAUAUUGACCCUCUAACGAUC
rnacentral:lncRNA from 1 species